rnacentral:rRNA from 1 species
UACGUAGGGGGCGAGCGUUGUCCGGAUUUAUUGGGCGUAAAGAGCUCGUAGGCGGUUUGGUAAGUCGGGUGUGAAAUCUCCAAGCUUAACUUGGGAACUGCAUCCGAUACUGGAUGGCUUGAAUCCGGGAGAGGGAUGCAGAAUUCCAGGUGUAGCGGUGAAAUGCGUAGAUAUCUGGAGGAAUACCGGUGGCGAAGGCGGCAUCCUGGACCGACAUUGACGCUGAUGAGCGAAAGCUAGGGGAGCAAACGGG